CCUACGGGAGGCAGCAGUGGGGAAUAUUGGACAAUGGGGGGAACCCUGAUCCAGCGACGCCGCGUGAGUGAAGAAGUAUUUCGGUAUGUAAAGCUCUAUCAGCAGGGAAGAAAGAAAUGACGGUACCUGACUAAGAAGCCUCGGCGAACUACGUGCAAGCAGCCGCGGGAAUACGUAGGGCGCAAGCGUUAUCCGGAUUUACUGGGGGUAAAGGGAGCGUAGACGGCGAUGCAAGUCUGAAGUGAAAGGCGGGGGCCCAACCCCCGGACUGCUUUGGAAACUGUAUGGCUGGAGUGCGGGAGAGGUAAGUGGAAUGCCUAGUGUAGCGGUGAAAUGCGUAGAUAUUAGGAGGAACACCAGUGGCGAAGGCGGCUUACUGGACUGUAACUGACGUUGAGGCUCGAAAGCGUGGGGAGCAAACAGGAUUAGAUACCCGGGUAGUC
rnacentral:rRNA from 1 species